UACGUGGGGUGCGAGCGUUAAUCGGAAUUACUGGGCGUAAAGCGUGCGCAGGCGGUGAUGUAAGACAGGUGUGAAAUCCCCGGGCUUAACCUGGGAACUGCAUUUGUGACUGCAUCGCUGGAGUGCGGCAGAGGGGGAUGGAAUUCCGCGUGUAGCAGUGAAAUGCGUAGAUAUCUGGAGGAACACCGGUGGCGAAGGCGGCAUCCUGGACCAUUAUUGACGCUGAGGAGCGAAAGCCAGGGGAGCAAACGGG
rnacentral:rRNA from 1 species